CCUACGGGAGGCAGCAGUGAGGAAUAUUGGUCAAUGGACGAGAGUCUGAACCAGCCAAGUAGCGUGAAGGAUGACUGCCCUAUGGGUUGUAAACUUCUUUUAUAUGGGAAUAAAACGUUCCACGUGUGGGAUUUUGUAUGUACCAUAUGAAUAAGGAUCGGCUAACUCCGUGCCAGCAGCCGCGGUAAUACGGAGGAUCCGAGCGUUAUCCGGAUUUAUUGGGUUGAAAGGGAGCGUAGGUGGAUUGUUAAGUCAGUUGUGAAAGUUUGCGGCUCAACCGUAAAAUUGCAGUUGAAACUGGCAGUCUUGAGUACAGUAGAGGUGGGCGGAAUUCGUGGUGUAGCGGUGAAAUGCUUAGAUAUCACGAAGAACUCCGAUUGCGAAGGCAGUUCACUGGACUGCAACUGACACUGAGGCUCGAAAGUGUGGGUAUCAAACAGGAUUAGAUACCCUAGUAGUC
rnacentral:rRNA from 1 species